GGAUUUACGUAAAAAUUCUGUCCCAGUUAAAAUUUAUAGAAAUUUUUAAAAAGGUGAAAAACCCUUUAAUUUAUAAAAGACGAGAAGACCCUAUGAAUUUUAAAAAUUAAAAUUCAUCUUUUUUGCUGGGGCGGCAAAGGAUCAAUGAACAUCCACACUAUCGGUUAUAUCCGUAUUUAAUAAAUUACCUUAGGGAUAACAGCGCAAUUGUGACCUCGAUGUUGGACUACGAA
rnacentral:rRNA from 1 species